rnacentral:rRNA from 1 species
AGAGUUUGAUCCUGGCUCAGGACGAACGCUGGCGGCGUGCCUAAUACAUGCAAGUCGAACGAAGCUUUCUUUCACCGAAUGCUUACAUUCACCGAAAGAAGCUUAGUGGCGAACGGGUGAGUAACACGUAGGCAACCUGCCCAAAAGAGGGGGAUAACACUUGGAAACAGGUGCUAAUACCGCAUAACCAUGAACACCGCAUGAUGUUCAUGUAAAAGACGGCUUUUGCUGUCACUUUUGGAUGGGCCUGCGGCGUAUUAACUUGUUGGUGGGGUAACGGCCUACCAAGGUGAUGAUACGUAGCCGAACUGAGAGGUUGAUCGGCCACAUUGGGACUGAGACACGGCCCAAACUCCUACGGGAGGCAGCAGUAGGGAAUCUUCCACAAUGGACGAAAGUCUGAUGGAGCAACGCCGCGUGAAUGAAGAAGGCCUUCGGGUCGUAAAAUUCUGUUGUCAGAGAAGAACGUGCGUGAGAGUAACUGUUCACGUAUUGACGGUAUCUGACCAGAAAGCCACGGCUAACUACGUGCCAGCAGCCGCGGUAAUACGUAGGUGGCGAGCGUUGUCCGGAUUUAUUGGGCGUAAAGGGAACGCAGGCGGUCUUUUAAGUCUGAUGUGAAAGCCUUCGGCUUAACCGAAGUAGUGCAUUGGAAACUGGAAGACUUGAGUGCAGAAGAGGAGAGUGGAACUCCAUGUGUAGCGGUGAAAUGCGUAGAUAUAUGGAAGAACACCAGUGGCGAAAGCGGCUCUCUGGUCUGUAACUGACGCUGAGGUUCGAAAGCGUGGGUAGCAAACAGGAUUUGAUACCCUGGUAGUCCACGCCGUAAACGAUGAGUGCUAAGUGUUGGAGGGUUUCCGCCCUUCAGUGCUGCAGCUAACGCAUUAAGCACUCCGCCUGGGGAGUACGGUCGCAGGACUGAAACUCAAAGGAAUUGACGGGGGCCCGCACAAGCGGUGGAGCAUGUGGUUUAAUUCGAAGCAACGCGAAGAACCUUACCAGGUCUUGACAUCUUCUGACAAUUCCAGAGAUGGAACGUUCCCUUCGGGGACAGAAUGACAGGUGGUGCAUGGUUGUCGUCAGCUCGUGUCGUAAGAUGUUGGGUUGAGUCCCGCAACGAGCGCAACCCUUAUUGUCAGUUGCCAUCAUUAAGUUGGGCACUCUGGCGAGACUGCCGGUGACAGACCGGAGGAAGGUGGGGAUGACGUCAAAUCAUCAUGCCCCUUAUGACCUGGGCUACACACGUGCUACAAUGGACGGUACAACGAGUCGCUAACUCGCGAGGGCAAGCUAAUCUCUUAAAGCCGUUCUCAGUUCGGAUUGCAGGCUGCAACUCGCCUGCAUGAAGUCGGAAUCGCUAGUAAUCGCGAAUCAGCAUGUCGCGGUGAAUACGUUCCCGGGCCUUGUACACACCGCCCGUCACACCAUGAGAGUUUGUAACACCCAAAGUCGGUGGGGUAACCUUUUGGAGCCAGCCGCCUAAGGUGGGACAGAUGAUUGGGGUGAAGUCGAAACAAGGUA